rnacentral:rRNA from 1 species
UACGUAGGUGGCAAGCGUUGUCCGGAUUUAUUGGGUUUAAAGGGUGCGUAGGCGGCCCUGUAAGUCAGUGCUGAAAUAUCCCAGCUUAACUGGGAGGGUGGCAUUGAUACUGCGGGGCUAGAGUACAGAUGAGGUAGGCGGAAUUGACGGUGUAGCGGUGAAAUGCUUAGAUAUCGGGAGGAACACCAGUGGCGAAGGCGACUACCUGGCCUGUUUCUUGACGCUGAGGCGCGAAAGCUAGGGGAGCAAACGGG